UUGAGCAUUUUUGGGAUAUUAAUAUCUGGAUUGUGGAGAAAGAUGUAAUUCCUUUCUGUAACAUGGAACCUAUUAUAGGAAAUUGCAUCCUCACAUAUGUUUGGUAAGGUCAUCCUAUAAGUCAAUCAAUUAGUUAAUGAUGUGUUUUCUUUGUUGUUAAUAUUUAAUCAUCUUUAUUUUUAGGCAUUUGUAUAGAAACAUGAAGAAAGAACAAGCUGCCAGAUUUUUAUUUGUGAACACGUUCACUAUUUCACACUGUAAAAGUUUAUCAAUCGAAGAUAGGGCACGCGCAUUAUCAGAACGAUUGCUAGUUACAACUGCAAAUCAAAUUGUUUUGGCGCCUUGCAAUGUGGAGUAAGUGAAUACUUAGCAUUGUAACCUCAGUAAUCAUUAUGUUCUAUAUUCAUUGCUAUACUAAUUUUCUUACUUGUAUGAAAUAGUUCACAUUGGAUACUCACAGUCAUUGAACCACACAAAGGCCACGUUUAUCUGUUGGACUCUCUUUAUCACAGAAAUCGUGAUAUCCCUUAGAAAGUUGAUGUUGACAAGUAAGUUUUACAAAAUUUAUGUAAUAAAUUUUUUGUGUAUCUUUAUUAUUUGCUGUUGAUAAGUAAGUUUUACAUGUUGUUGUCCGUAUAUUAAUUUGCUCGUAUUCAUUCUUUUGAAGUGCCAUGAGUAUUUUCAAUGCACACAAUGGAAAGAAAAUCAAGAAUUCAGCAAAAUGGGACAUCAUAAAGGUGUGUGCUAUUGUUUAUAAAGAAUAUUAAUUCACAGUUGGUAACCUCGUAUUUUUAUGAUUCUAAACAUAGGGUCCUAAGCAACCUGGCAGUACGGAAUGUGGAUUUUUUGUAAUGCGAUAAUAUGAAAGACAUAGUCGAAGGGUUUGAAAGGGACGACAUUAUUUCUCUGCCGACUGCCAUCAUUG
rnacentral:lncRNA from 1 species